UUACGGUCAAAUCACGCUGAAAACACCGGUUCUCGUUCGAUCACCGAAGUUAAGCAUCGUAAACGUCUUCGCUUACGGUCAAAUCACUGAAAACACCGGUUCUCGUUCCGAGAGCCAGGUCAGUACUUAGAUGGGGGACCGCUUGGGAACACCUGGUACUGUAAG